AGUCUCAUGAAAAAACGUACCCUGACUACGUUGGUCCAAUUUGCAAAACGUGGAGGGGUUACAAUAAUGGCCCUAGAAUUGUAUGACUGUUACAUUUUUUUUUCGCCUAUUCUUUUAAUGGCCCUUGAAUUGUAUGACUGUUACGUUUUUCUUUCGUCCAAGUCACGUGACUUUCAAGCUACCGGCCGUGAGAACAAAAAACAUGGCGGACAUUUCUCUCAUUUUUAGUGGAAAAAUCUAUAUUGUGAGUUAGUUUCUGCAUAAAAAUAAGUUUUGAUUACAUUUCUAGCGAGAAAUAUAUAUUUUAUUUUCAUAAUAUGCACUCAGUGAAUUUACAUAAUCACUCGCUUGCUCGAUGUUACGCAGAUUUUUCAGAUCUCGCCAGAAUAAUGUAAAACUGAUACGUUUUUGGUUGCUAUGGUUGCUGCCAGGGCUCGUCACAUGACGUCUUCUACAGACUAUAAUAAAUAAGAAUAAAUAGGAAGAGGCAACAAUAAAUGAUCUAUGCCAGCGCAAGUCAAUAUUUAUCUGGCCAGUCAACUGGUUUUUAAUUUUAAAAAUCCCUCGCAGUCUGAACUGCAACAGCACGGUCUGCGGUGAGUUAAACAACGUUCAACUGCAGGAUCAAUAGCAUUCAGCGGUGAGUUUAACAACCCUCAAAUGCGGUUAAAACAACAUUCAGAGGGAAGCUUUAUUUAAACCGCGUUCAACUGCAGAUAAAACAACAUUCAGAGGUGACUUUAACAACGCUCCACGGCGCGUGGGAGUAGCAUUUUAAGCGUUUUCUGAUCAUGUAGGUAAGUGCUUUGAUUACCUUUAGACGUGAUGCAUGCUGGGAGGCAAAUAUUUUUUUAUCAAAGGCUCGUUGAUGGUAAUAAAUAUACAUAUAAAUAUACAUUUUACUAUACUACGAUUGUGUUCGAUUAAUUAAUGGGUUGUUUAAUUAUUAAUUUGUUUAUUUUAAAUCCUGUAAUUUAACAACUCUGACGUCAUCGAAUGCGACGAUGCCAAGGUCCAUUGCGAUUUCCACUCGAAUUUGCCUUUGAAAGCCUACAGCGAACGGACGGUUUGGACUUCAGCCCUCUACUUCCUGCUUUAAUGAUGUCACUAGAACAGUUUUUUGACUAAACUCCACCCACAGGAAUACAUCAGUGGCCAGCUAAGCUAACGGUGCGAGCCAAGCCAAUUUUAUUUAUUGGGAAACAGGAUAAAAAGGCUUCGAAUAAGUGGGUUGCAUAUAUUAUUACCCAUUGGCACCCCACUCCUGUCACUACAAUUUUUUGGAGGAGAUGCGGAGGUCUUUAUCU